rnacentral:rRNA from 1 species
AGCAGCCGCGGUAAUUCCAGCUCCAAUAGCGUAUAUUAAAGUUGUUGCAGUUAAAAAGCUCGUAGUUGAACUUCGGAAUUUAUUCAUUGGUCAGGCUUAACUGUCUGUACUGGUGUGAUGAAUUCCUACCUUCUGAGGAAUCCUCAUGCCAUUCACUUGGUGUGGUGGGGAAUCAGGACUGUCACUUUGAAAAAAUUAGAGUGUUUAAAGCAGGCUAACGUCUGAAUACAUUAGCAUGGAAUAAUAAAAUAGGACGGCUUGGUUCUAUUUUGUUGGUUUCUAGGAUCACCGUAAUGAUUAAUAGGGAUAGUUGGGGGCAUUAGUAUUCAAUUGUCAGAGGUGAAAUUCUUGGAUUUAUUGAAGACUAACUACUGCGAAAGCAUUUGCCAAGGAUGUUUUCAUUAAUCAAGAACGAAAGUUAGGGGAUCGAAGACGAUCAGAUACCGUCGUAGUCUUAACCAUAAACUAUGCCGACUAGGGAUCGGACGAAGUUAAUUUUUAAAUGACUCGUUCGGCACCUUAAC